rnacentral:lncRNA from 1 species
GAGCAAAUUUCAUCCUCCACUACCUGUGGCUUCUUCGUGCCUACUUCUACAAAGAGUUGUAGCAGAGAAGUCAUUCUGAGUGACUGAUGUCAACUCUUAAUUCUCCUUGUCUAAUUCGAAAGUGUUAACUUACAAAUUACUUUUUUUUUCCCCCACUGUGGCUGUUGCUUUGUGAAGGUUUGUUUUUAUUUAAGGAGCACUGUAGUGUCUGGUAGUGUAAAUGAGGAAAAUCCUGUAAAUACAAUGAAACAGUAAUUAUAAAAUAGAGCAUGGACCUUGUUUUUUCCCAAAAGAACAAAAUCUCAUCUCAUACUUUCUUCUUUUCUCUGGACUAUUAUUAUUUAUUUUAGGAAAAACAGAAAACAAAUGGAUUGCAGAAUGGAAGUGCCUUGGCUGAUGAUACUAUUAAUCUUGAAGAUAAAAAUCACCAAGAGAAUCAAGACUCUUCUGAAACACUUCCAGAAAUGGAGUUGUUUCAAGGAGUGAUAGAGGAGAACAUCAUGACCUACACUAGCACUGGCUGUCUGGAUGCUGUGUUUCAUCAGUUAUGACUGACCAUCUUAAAUUCUGCAUGAAGGAAAAGAAACUUCUCACUUUGAUUCCACCAUGGGAGGACUUCAGUUGGCUGCCAAGGAUUUUAAAUGUGAUGAAUAACCUGGAAGAAAGUAACCACUGUAGAUUUUUGGUGUGAAUCUUUGGCCAUCUUCCCCCCCCCCCCCCCCNNNNCCCCCCCCCCCCCCCAGCCCCCCAAUAUCAACCUCUCUGUCCCUGUAAUAAAAAUCAAGAUUGAGAUAACUUUGUUUUGUGUGGCAAAAGAUCACUUGGGAUUUAUACCUUCUCAGUACAUCCUUGAGUGUGGUACAAAGAGAUUGAGAGUGGAGACCAGUAAGCA